UUCCCAUACGAUCACCGAUGUUAACCAACGUCGAGCCUGGCCAGUACCUGGAUGGGUGACCGUUUGGUAAUAUCAGGUGCUGUAAG